rnacentral:lncRNA from 1 species
GCGUUUAAGGGAUUAAGAUUAAAAUUGAGAGGCUUGAUUAGGAUUAAAUUAGAUCUGAAUUUUAAUAUUCAUGCUUGCUGAAAUUUUCUGCAUGCUGAAAUUUCAGUUUUCAGAAAUUUCAGCAUGCUGAUUUUUAUUCUUAUGAUCUUGCAUGUAGAUUUUAAAUUACAAUAAGAUUGAAACAAUUAAAAAUCAUGUCUUGCAUGAUCAGAGAUUCAAUUGGUAGCAUGAUUAAAAUUAAAAUUAUCAGAUCUGAAAUUGUAUGCAUGAGAUGCAUGUGAUAAGAAUCAAUCAUGGAUUCAUGAUCAUAAAAAUAUAUUUUUCUAUUUAUGCCUAUGCUUAAAAGGAAAAUUAUAUAUGCGUGAGAUGAAUAAGAUAUGAUCAAAUCAUGGAUUCAUGAUAAUUAAAGGAUAAUAUUGUUUAGGCCAAUGCUUAAAAGGAAAUUGUAUAUGCAUGAGAUGUAUAUAUAUAAAUGUUAAGCAA